rnacentral:rRNA from 1 species
UACAGAGGGGGCAAGCGUUGUUCGGAAUUACUGGGCGUAAAGGGCGCGUAGGCGGCCAACUAAGUCAGACGUGAAAUCCCAAGGCUCAACCUUGGAACUGCGUCUGAUACUGGAUGGCUUGAGUUCGGGAGAGGGAAGUGGAAUUCCAGGUGUAGCGGUGAAAUGCGUAGAUAUCUGGAGGAACACCGGUGGCGAAGGCGGCUUCCUGGACCGACACUGACGCUGAGGCGCGAAAGCCAGGGGAGCAAACGGG